AGCAGGACGUAGCUGGCCAGCGUGGAGGACCGCGUCUGGCUGGAGUGAGCAGACCACUCGCUGGACUCCACACUCACUUUUGUGUCGCCAGAUCCUGUGUGCAGUUGGUGCUUAGAAAACGCUUGCCGAGCUGGAGAGGAACGGCUUCGCUUGCCCCGCCAGGAGGAAGGAUCGCGUCUCACCUCACUGGGCUGGUGCCCUUGUAUUUGCCAUUUCAUAAAAGAUUUUAUUUGUGGUUGGACAGUCAGUUCUUUCAGGAAAACUAGAAGAACUGGUUUAGAACCAUUGUGAAACUCUAUUUUAAUAGCAGCAAGUCAGGGCUCUGACAACUUCAAAAAGGGCGAUCAAGAAAUUCUUGUUUGCUCAACAGAAAGAGCUGUUUGGUUACGUGGCUUCAAAGUCACCCCAAACGCCAUGUAAUUUUCAGCUUCUAAUGAUUUUCUGGUGAUUAGCCUCUAAGAUGUCCGGAGAUCGUGAUGGGUGACGCCUCCCUUUCGCCCCCUCCUCAGCGUCUCAGUCUGAGCUGCGUGGACUCUUCUUUUCCUUCCUUCGCUUCUAGAUCAUAAACACGCUCGGCUGAAGUGGCCCUCGAGGUGGACUGCUGCUCCAGCCACUGUGUUUCCCUCACCCGCACUAGAUCGAUAAAUAUUUUACUUAAAAUUCUUUGUUCUUAAAUGUGCAGCACAGAGUCUAGCUGAUAGAAACACCAUGCAGGCCGCAUGGGUCGCUCUCAAUUUUUCUAGUAGCCUCAUUAAAAAAGGAGAAAAGGUGCAGGUGAGACUCAUUUGAAUAGUGUUUUAUGUAGCCCAGUAUCUCCACAGUGUUAUCAGUUCAGCAUGUCAUCACAGUAAGAAUUCUUGUCAGGGUGGUGGCCACUGUGUCUUUCGUCCAACAUCAGCGUGCCUUUUCUGGGGACGGU